rnacentral:rRNA from 1 species
GAUCAUGGCUCAGGAUGAACGCUAGCGACAGGCUUAACACAUGCAAGUCGAGGGGCAGCGGGGGUAGCGAUACCCGCCGGCGACCGGCGCACGGGUGAGUAACGCGUAUGCAACUUGCCUAUCAGAGGGGGAUAACCCGGCGAAAGUCGGACUAAUACCGCAUGAAGCAGGGAUCCCGCAUGGGAAUAUUUGCUAAAGAUUCAUCGCUGAUAGAUAGGCAUGCGUUCCAUUAGG